CCUACGGGAGGCAGUAGUGGGGAAUAUUGGGCAAUGGGCGCAAGCCUGACCCAGCAACGCCGCGUGAAGGAAGAAGGCUUUCGGGUUGUAAACUUCUUUUCUCAGGGACGAAGCAAGUGACGGUACCUGAGGAAUAAGUCUCGGCUAACUACGUGCCAGCAGCCGCGGUAAUACGUCGGUGGCAAGCGUUAUCCGGAUUUACUGGGUGUAAAGGGCGUGUAGGCGGGACUGCAAGUCAGAUGUGAAAACCACGGGCUCAACCUGUGGCCUGCAUUUGAAACUGGAGUUCUUGAGUACUGGAGAGGCAGGCGGAAUGCCUGGUGUAGCGGUGAAAUGCGUAGAUAUGAGGAGGAACACCAGUGGCGAAGGCGGUCUGCUGGACAGCAACUGACGCUGAGGCGCGAAAGCGUGGGGAGCAAACAGGAUUAGAUACCCGAGUAGUC
rnacentral:rRNA from 1 species